rnacentral:rRNA from 1 species
AGAGUUUGAUCAUGGCUCAGGAUGAACGCUAGCUACAGGCUUAACACAUGCAAGUCGAGGGGCAGCAUGGUCUUAGCUUGCUAAGGCCGAUGGCGACCGGCGCACGGGUGAGUAACACGUAUCCAACCUGCCGUCUACUCUUGGACAGCCUUCUGAAAGGAAGAUUAAUACAAGAUGGCAUCAUGAGUCCACAUGUUCACAUGAUUAAAGGUAUUCCGGUAGACGAUGGGGAUGCGUUCCAUUAGAUAGUAGGCGGGGUAACGGCCCACCUAGUCUUCGAUGGAUAGGGGUUCUGAGAGGAAGGUCCCCCACAUUGGAACUGAGACACGGUCCAAACUCCUACGGGAGGCAGCAGUGAGGAAUAUUGGUCAAUGGGCGAGAGCCUGAACCAGCCAAGUAGCGUGAAGGAUGACUGCCCUAUGGGUUGUAAACUUCUUUUAUAAAGGAAUAAAGUCGGGUAUGCAUACCCGUUUGCAUGUACUUUAUGAAUAAGGAUCGGCUAACUCCGUGCCAGCAGCCGCGGUAAUACGGAGGAUCCGAGCGUUAUCCGGAUUUAUUGGGUUUAAAGGGAGCGUAGAUGGAUGUUUAAGUCAGUUGUGAAAGUUUGCGGCUCAACCGUAAAAUUGCAGUUGAUACUGGAUAUCUUGAGUGCAGUUGAGGCAGGCGGAAUUCGUGGUGUAGCGGUGAAAUGCUUAGAUAUCACGAAGAACUCCGAUUGCGAAGGCAGCCUGCUAAGCUGCAACUGACAUUGAGGCUCGAAAGUGUGGGUAUCAAACAGGAUUAGAUACCCUGGUAGUCCACACGGUAAACGAUGAAUACUCGCUGUUUGCGAUAUACUGCAAGCGGCCAAGCGAAAGCGUUAAGUAUUCCACCUGGGGAGUACGCCGGCAACGGUGAAACUCAAAGGAAUUGACGGGGGCCCGCACAAGCGGAGGAACAUGUGGUUUAAUUCGAUGAUACGCGAGGAACCUUACCCGGGCUUAAAUUGCAGAUGAAUUACGGUGAAAGCCGUAAGCCGCAAGGCAUCUGUGAAGGUGCUGCAUGGUUGUCGUCAGCUCGUGCCGUGAGGUGUCGGCUUAAGCGCCAUAACGAGCGCAACCCUUGUUGUCAGUUACUAACAGGUUCUGCUGAGGACUCUGACAAGACUGCCAUCGUAAGAUGUGAGGAAGGUGGGGAUGACGUCAAAUCAGCACGGCCCUUACGUCCGGGGCUACACACGUGUUACAAUGGGGGGUACAGAGGGCCGCUACCACGCGAGUGGAUGCCAAUCCCAAAAACCUCUCUCAGUUCGGACUGGAGUCUGCAACCCGACUCCACGAAGCUGGAUUCGCUAGUAAUCGCGCAUCAGCCACGGCGCGGUGAAUACGUUCCCGGGCCUUGUACACACCGCCCGUCAAGCCAUGGGAGCCGGGGGUACCUAAAGUGCGUAACCGCGAGGAGCGCCCUAGGGUAAAACUGGUGACUGGGGCUAAGUCGUAACAAGGUA